UGACGAGUGUGGGAAGGAUUUUACUUUGAAGUCUAAACUAAAACAACAUCAGCUCAUCCACACUGGAGAGAGACCGUUCAGCUGUGACUUGUGUGGAAAGUCGUUUUCCAGGAAGAAUGCCCUAAAAAGACACCAAAUCCUCCACAGUGGAGUUAAAGCUUACACCUGUGAUCAGUGUGGUAAAGCUUUUACUCGAAGUAGCCACUUACAGAGACAUCUAGUUACCCACUCUGGAAUUAAGGCGUACAGCUGUGACAUCUGUGGAAAAACUUUCAGCCGGCUAUGGAGCCGAAAUACACACCUACGCAUUCACUCCGGAGAAAAUGUGUACUGGUGUGAUCAGUGUGGCAAGUACUUUACAACAGACGCACAGUUACAAAGCCACAUGUUUACCCACACUGAGGAGAGACCUUAUCAAUGUGACCUGUGUGAGAAGACUUUUAAAACUCCACAGUACCUGAGACGACACCAACAGAUCCACACCAGAAAGAGACUCUACAAGUGCAGUUACUGUGAGAAGCAGAGCGACACAGAUGGAUCCACUUCUCAACCCUGUCAUCGCUGUGGUGGUGGGAAAGACUUCCGUUGUGACAUCUGUGAAAAAACUUUCAGUCAGCAAGCCGGCCUAAAAAUACAUCAACGUAAACACACUGGAGACAAACUGAAAUACUGCAAAGAAUGUGGGAGAAGCUUCCCCACAUCACGUGACUUAAAACGACAUGAACUCUUUCACAGUGGGCUCAAAAAGCACCACUGUGAUCAGUGUGGGUCAUCCUUCACCACUGCAAGUGACCUUAAAACACACAAACGAGUCCACACAGGAGAGAAACCAUACAAGUGCAGACACUGUGACAAAAGCUUCUCAUGUUCAAGUAGUCGUAACAAGCAUGAACGUACACACAUGGAAGGAAACUACAGCUGUGAGCAGUGUGACAAGA